AUGACAAAUUCUCCGGAAUCUCUGCAUCUCCUGAUGAUUCUCCUUGAACCCUUUGUGCUGAUGACUUUUGUGCUCAUGUUA